rnacentral:rRNA from 1 species
GACGUAGGGUCCAAGCGUUGUCCGGAUUUACUGGGCGUAAAGAGCGCGUAGGCGGUCUGUUAAGUGCAGAGUGAAAUCUCCAGGGCUCAACCCGGAAACUGCUCUGCAUACUGGCAGACUGGAGUGAUGCAGAGGUUUGUGGAAUUCCUGGUGUAACGGUGAAAUGCGCAGAUAUCAGGAAGAACACCAAUGGCGAAAGCAGCUCUCUGGGACGGUACUGACGCUGAGACGCGAAAGCGUGGGGAGCAACAGG